UUUGGACAUGAGUAUCUUCCCAUACCCGCUCCGCCCGUUGGAACCAGUCAUCCACUGCUUGGACUUCCUUCGGGCCAGGGAUCCGUAGACAGACCGGAGGGUGGAACCCCUGCACACGCUCAAAUGGUGAGAUGCCAGUGGAAGCUGGCGAAGGGAAUUCUGGGAAUAUUCAGCCCAAGGCAGGAACCUGGCCCAGUCGUGCUGUCGGCGGUGGCAGUGUGCACGCAGAAAUCUUCCCACCUCUUGGAUGGACCUCUCUGCUUGGCCAUUCGACUCGGGAUGAUAUCCAGACGUGAGGCUGACGUUCACCCCCAGCCGAUCAAGGAAGGCCCGCCACACUCUUGAUGUGAAGUGGGGCCCACGGUCCGAGACAAUGUCUUCUGGCCAUAGAUCCGGAACACAUGUUGAAACAGUGCCUCUGCAACCUGGAAGGCAGUAGGCAGAGCAGUGAAGGGGAUUCAUUUACAGAAUUUAGAGAAGCAGUCAAUAACCACCAGUAUUAGCGUAUGCCCUUCAGAGACUGGGAGAUCUGUGAUUAAGUCCACCGCCAGAUGAGUCCAUGGUCGUUGCGGGACUGGAGGGGGGAUGCAGUUUUCCCGCUGGGAGUUGGCGAGGAGACUUGGUGGUAGCGCAGGUGGAACAGAACAUAAAUCGUUUGAGCUCCGCAGCCAGGCCGGGCCACCAGUACUUGUUUGCAAUGAGACGUAGAUUGCGCUGAAUACCUGGGUGCCCAGGAGAGAGACAGACGUGCGACUAUGUGAUGGCCUGAGCGCGCAGUCUUGAUGGUAUAUACAACUUCCCUGGAGGGCAGGUGUUUUGAGUCGGUUCUCUCCUAGUUUCGCGCUGGAUGUCGGUGUCCAGAUCCCAGACGACAGGAGCAAGGAUGGAGGACUCUGGAAUGAUGGAAUGGACCUCUGGAUGGACGGCUGUUGGGCCCCCUGUAUCCAAUGUCUCCAUUCCUCCAUCGCCAACUUGACCGCCAGCAGCUCUCUAUUGCCCACAUCGUAAUUCCUCUCUGCUGGGGUCAGUUUCCGGGAGAAGAACACACAUGGGUGCAGCUUAGGUGGGUCUCCGAGCCGUUGGGACAGCACAGCUCCUACCCCUGUGUCUGAGGCGUCCACUUCCACGAUUAACUGUUUCCCAGGGUGCGGAAGUUUAAAGAAUGGGGGCCGUGGUGAAGCGUUUCUUCAGCUCCUGGAGCGCUUGGUGGGCCUCAGGUGUCCAAUGCAGUGUACGUGGCUUCCCACGGAGGAGUGCAGAGAGAGGGGCGGCAAUGGAGCUGAAGCCCCGGAUGAAGCAGCGGUAAAAGUUUGCGAAGCCUAGGAAACGCUGCAGCUGCUUUACUGUUCGGGGAACCGCCCUGCUUGUUGGCCAAUUAGUACACCGGCAACAUUGAUCUUUGAGAGGGAGGUGUGCAAGAUGCCACAACAGAUAAAACUAGAGGUCAAAAUAACAUCUGGAAAGGACAGCGAGAGAGAGUGACAAAGAAGCAGAAUAUGAGUGAUGCUUGCCUGUCAGAUGACCUGGAAAGUAACAACUGCAGAUCGUGUGCAGGGUGAACAAGGAGAGAGUUGGUGGUCCAGGAACAGAAAUAAACAUUAGAGGGAAAGGAAAGAAGCGGGAUUGGCUACAUACAGAGGACAGAUAAAAUGAAAGAAACAAGUGCUGCAAAAUAAGCGCAGGAAAGGACCGAGAGAGGCUAAGCAUUGCUAUGUGUGACCAGCUGGCCAUCUCAGAGUCCCUCUGUUCUCAUCUGGAUCCCUAUUGGAGUGACCACCAUAUCAAUACUCUGUCAUGGCCAGCCCAAGCUCCAGGACUGAGUCCCACGGAAACCCGCCCGAAAUGUGGUCAAAAGGAAGGGAGGUGAUCACAAGCCUCAGGAACUUGUUUUUUUGCACCGGGGAUGGAAUUAAAUCAUUCCAGAAUGAUGUGGAAGAAUGGAGGAGAGCAUGCCAAGAUGCAUGAGAGCAUGUGAUUAAAAUCCAGAGUUAUUCUAGCAAAAAAUGA